UACGAAGGGGGCUAGCGUUGCUCGGAAUUACUGGGCGUAAAGCGCACGUAGGCGGCUUCUUAAGUCAGGGGUGAAAUCCUGGAGCUCAACUCCAGAACUGCCUUUGAUACUGAGUAGCUUGAGUCCGGGAGAGGUGAGUGGAACUGCGAGUGUAGAGGUGAAAUUCGUAGAUAUUCGCAAGAACACCAGUGGCGAAGGCGGCUCACUGGCCCGGUACUGACGCUGAGGUGCGAAAGCGUGGGGAGCAAACAGG
rnacentral:rRNA from 1 species